CACUCUCUCUCUCUCUCUCUCUCUCUCUCUCUCUCUCUCUCUCUCUCUCUCUCUUUCUCUCUCUUAUGCAGGCAGCACGCACGCACGCACACACGCACACAGAUCUUUUAUGGAGCAUGAAAGACAGGGGUUAGGACGGCAUUACCACCUAAAGACGGCAGACACAAAUCCCCCUGCCUCACCUUUGGGCCAAUCUUCCUAACAUGCCGCGUUCCGCGCAAGCCUGCUUUCCUACCCCAGCCGAGACAAUCGCAGCUCCCUUCCCAUUUCUGACAACUGCACCAUAGGCGUCCAAAAGCAGAAAGUCAGGCCACAGGUGAGCAGGCCUUGGUCCUGUCUUCCAUGCAGAACCUGUGCCUGGAGACUUCUGGCUUCCUGGAAUUGUCUAUACUCAGACUCUCAACAGUAUGCUCCAGACACGCUUCUCCUCCUCCUCUUCUUCUUCCUCCUCUUUACAUGUGGGUGCACGUGGAUGUAACCAUCCAUGUGGGGUCCAGAGGACAAUCGCAGGUGCCUUCCCUUGGGAGUCACCCAGCUUGUUUUUUUAGACAGCAUCUCUCAAGAAACCUGAACUUGAAGUUCGCUGACUAAGAGCACGUGCAAGAGUCAUCGAGGACAGAAGAGUGGAGACCUCCUCAUCUAGUCCUCCACUGAACAGAGUGCUGAGGGAAAAGGGUCUGCUCCAGAGCACUCAACAAGCCAGUCUCUAUGUGGAUCCCAAGCCCGGCUCACCUCUAGAGUUGAUCUUUCUGGACCUUCUGCUCUGGGCAGUAUGAGCUCUCUAAGACGUUAGCCCAAGGAGCCCCUCCUCUUCAGGUUGAGAAUCUGUGCGAUGGAAAGUGUUCCUUAAGUGCUCCGCCUGCUAAGGAUGAACAAGCCUCUGAUUGGAGGUGAGUGGUCUGAUGGAGCCCUGCAUUUAUUUCUCAGUGUGAGGCUGGCUGUGGUCAGGGUGUGAUCCCAGCCUGCCCUUCACCUGCUCUGCAGAUUGGAAGGGGGAUGCUGUGUCUCUGGGGUGCCGAAGGACACACUGAAUAGCAGCUGCUUGUGGAAGGGGCUGGGCUCCUGAGUUAGGGGAGGAUCAUUACCCUAACACAGGGGGUGCGGGGCAAAUGGAUCAAUCCUCUCUCCUCCAAGUACUCAUCUGUGCAGGAGACCAGGAGGCCAUUGCCACCUCCCAGCUGGCUUCUGCCUCUCCUCCAGUGAGAGGAUGCCCUGAAGGCUCUGUGACUUCCUUCCCUCUGUCCAGUGCUGGACAUUUCUCCAUGUCUCCCUUUGUACCUUCCCCCACCUCCGUAUCCUCUGUCCACCGGAAACACUACCAGAGACCAAUGGUCAGCCCUGGAAACAUAUAUACAAGUAACGUUACACAGAUUGAGAGGGCUGUGUGAGGAAUACAUCUGGAUAUACAUAUGUGUACAUAUACACAUAAGUAUGUGAAUGUAACAACAAUCCGUGAAAAAAGAGACCACGAAUUUGAC